GCAAAAAUAGUUUUGUAAUGUAAUUUAAAGUGGAAUACUUGGUAAACAGAUCUAUCAUACUGUUCCAUGAUUCAAAUGCAUCUUUCCCAGCAUGGCUUGACUGUCAAACUGAGAUUAAGUAGCAGUAUGUGAAAAGACAGGCAAAUCAAAGAUUAACGUACAAUCUAGAAUGGAACAGUAUUAAAGAAGGUGAUGGUUAAAUGAGGCUUUCUUCCUCCCCCACACAAGAAAUACCACGCAUUGUUUACUGCAGUGUUAUCACAUUGGUUUCUCGGACCCAGAGUAUACACACAAGUUGAGAAUGCUUUCCAAAGAUCGAAGAGGAGGAAGGAUUGGGGGUUUUCUUGUUUGCUUUUUUAAUCCAUGUGUUUUCUACCUUAGACCCCUUUUUAUCUGAAAUUAGAGUUUCAGGAGAAGGCUGAAGGGGACUUGCAGAUGCAGGCAGGUUCCUGAAGGAAUAGGAUCCUUUCCGGCUUUCGUUAAACCACGAGAAAGGCAGGCCCGCUGACGGCGUGGAGGCCUGAGCAGUGGAGGACAGCUUCGGUUUCCAGUGUUCCAGGCUGCCGCUGAAGAUCCUGGGUUAUGAAAAGAACGGCAUGCGGAACUUCCCUGACCAGGGAUGGAACCUGCGCCACCUGCAGUGGAAGCGCAGAAUCUUAGCCACUAGACCACUAGGGAAGUCCGAUAGUUAUCUUUUUUGCAUCUAAAUGGAUUCUAUAACAAUGAUCAAUAUUUUGUUAUCAUUAUUGCCACGAUGAAUUUUAUGAAAUGUGCCUAAUAAAUGUAUGUGGAUAAAUUAGUAUCA